rnacentral:rRNA from 1 species
AGAGUUUGAUCAUGGCUCAGGAUGAACGCUAGCUACAGGCUUAACACAUGCAAGUCGAGGGGAAACGACAUCGAAAGCUUGCUUUUGAUGGGCGUCGACCGGCGCACGGGUGAGUAACGCGUAUCCAACCUGCCCACCACUUGGGGAUAACCUUGCGAAAGUAAGACUAAUACCCAAUGAUAUCUCUAGAAGACAUCUGAAAAGAGAUUAAAGAUUUAUCGGUGAUGGAUGGGGAUGCGUCUGAUUAGCUUGUUGGCGGGGUAACGGCCACCAAGGCGACGAUCAGUAGGGGUUCUGAGAGGAAGGUCCCCANAUUGGAACUGAGACACGGUCCAAACUCCUACGGGAGGCCA